CAGAACUGCCACAAUGAUCUCCCACACUCAGCUUCUCUGGAUACUAGUUUUUUGGAUUCAGGAUUCCAGUGGGCAGAUCCUGCUGACUCAGACUCCAGAAUCCCUGGCAGUGUCUCCAGGAGACAGAGUCACCAUCAACUGCAAAGCCAGUUCCAGUGCUAGCAGCUGGAUGUCCUGGUACCAACAGAAAUCAGGACAAGCUCCUAAGCUCCUUAUCUAUAAAGCCUCUACUCGUCCCUCUGGGAUCCCAGACCGGUUCAGUGGUAGUGGGUCUGGCACUGAUUUUACAUUCACAAUCAGCAGGGUUGAAGCAGAUGAUGCUGGAGAUUAUUACUGUCAACAGUAUAACACCUUCCCUCUCACACAGUGAUAC